GUUGUUGUUGUUGUUAUUGUUGUUAAAUAUAAGAAAUGAAGAUGGUGGCUUUGGUGUAACUGUGAAGUUACUCCACUUAUAACCUCGAAGAAAUGGGUUUGAGCCACAGAAACAUCCUUUCUGCAAAGCAAAUAUAAGAUUUCAUAAAUCAACCCUCCCUAGAUACUUCACGCACUAGGUGACCUUUUUUAAGAUUAGAAGUGAAGUGAAAAUUCUUAGGGUAUUGGCUAUUGAUUGAUCGAGCUGAAUGACGAAAAGGAUCCAUAUAGUCAAGUCCAACUAGUUUGGGAUUAAGGUUU
rnacentral:misc_RNA from 1 species